ensembl:ribozyme RNaseP_nuc Nuclear RNase P
GCAACUCAGCCAAACACAGGCAGGGGCAGGAAGUGUCCUUGGCCUCUAGAAAGUUCUGAGACUAGGACCUCGUGGGCCCUAACCGAGGUCUCCCUGAACGGGAGGUGAGUUCCCAGAGGGCAGGACUCCAAGCGAGGACAGACUGGGCAGAAGAGACCCCAAGUGAGCAGAUGUCUCCCCUCCCUGGAGUAUAGAACAGACUCCUGGUCACUCAUUUUGUUCAGUGAGUGGCUACCCUUCCUGCCAGGAGAAGUGUUCACUCUCUGAACAGAUGUGGUCUCUGAGUUGGAAGAAGGUCUCUGCUGACACCAUCCUGCCGCACUCAGACAACGGAGAGCCAACAACCAGUCCCUCCCACGUGCCUUAACUUACAGCACCCAGUCAGUCAGCUAAGCAGAGCGAGAAUAAACAAGACGAUAUCCCAUGUUAGGGUGGCAGGCAACCCAAGAGGGCUUCAGACUAAAUUCUUGC